rnacentral:misc_RNA from 1 species
GAUGAAGAACGCAGCGAAAUGCGAUAAGUAAUGUGAAUUGCAGAAUUCAGUGAAUCAUCGAAUCUUUGAACGCACAUUGCGCCCGCCAGUAUUCUGGCGGGCAUGCCUGUUCGAGCGUCAUUUCAACCAUCAAGCCCCCGGCUUGUGUUGGGGACCUGCGGCUGCCGCAGGCCCUGAAAUGCAGUGGCGGGCUCGCUGUCACUCCGAGCGUAGUAGUUACAUCUCGCUCUGGGCGUGCUGCGGGUUCCGGCCGUUAAAAGCCUUAUUUACCCAAGGUUGACCUCGGAUCAGGUAGGAAGACCCGCUGAACUUAAGCAUAUCAAUAAGCGGAGG